AGCACUGCAAGUUCAAGAAAAAGAGCAUUUUCAGCAGAGAAUGGUGGUGAUACACAUAAGAAAUCGGAAGUUAAUAUAAAUAAUGUUUUCUGUAUACAGGUUGGACAUUAUAUGAAUGUUUCUCAAAUGUAUUGAAGGUGUAAAUAAUUAAAAAUAAGACUUUUAAUCUUAUUGGAACGAGGAUGGUUCUUCCUUGGUUGGUGAAAGAGGAGGGAGUAAAAGUCUCAAAGGAUCUAAAAUCCUUUCUCUGGUUAUUUUGGUAGAAUGAUAUCAGAGGUGCAAUCAUGUAUUAGCCAUAAGCAGUCUGGUCUGAGCAAUGUAACAUGAUGCAUGGACAUAUUGAUGCAUAAACUGGCUAUUUCCUGUGCACCUGUCUUCCCAUAGGUUGUACCUGGAGUGCCCCAAGCACAUUACCUGGAAUGCAAUUGACAUUCUAUUUCACCACCUAUGCAGCUAUCCUUUUGUAUGAUUUCGAUGCCUCUUCUUUUUUAUAACAGAGUCUGUAUGAGUGGGUAGUUGUUUCUAGAAAUUGUAAUGGAUCAACUAUUUAAACCUUAUGAUUUAUUGUGUGCCUUUCUUUGUAUAGAGUUCAGUUUUGAGAUUGAUAGAUUGGUUAUUGGAGUAUAGACUAAAAGAUAUGUGUUGAUCAGGCGUGGGUUGUAAUUGCAUUUUGAUGAGCUACAGUCAAUAAAUAGACCUUUUAAAUUGAGAACUAAUCAGCUAAAUGUUCUACAUGGUAAUUGCUAUAAUUGAAGUGGCAUGUCAAGGUGUUUAUUCAAUUUUGCUAUUCAAGCUUGUUUUAGUUGGACUUGUUAUUAAUGAUUAGAGUUCUAGUGGUUUUUUAUUAAGAGUUAGGGUUUGGUAGUCCUGAUGUUCAAUCAUUAACCAGUCAUUUUUUUCAUAUGAAUUCAAUACUUUGACGACAAAUGAUGUAUAUAUAUAUACACACACACCUUUUCAAUGAGUGUGUUGAUGCUCAUGGUUCACCACAAGGUGUGCUGUUGGUGUCCAAAAUAGAAUACCAUAACCACAUUGAUGUGUUAAUGAUGCAUAUCGCAAUCACGUUGUCAUUGUCAAGUGUCUUUAUCAUGUGCUUAAAUAUUAUUUUUUUAUGUGCCUAAUUUGCUUUUGUAUGGUGAGUCUUCCUUGUACGAUCUUGCUUAAACAUCAGCUUUUCUCUUGCAGGAACCACCGCGGUCUCCGUCAUUUCUGGGGUCUUCGAGUUCGUGGUCAGCACACCAAGACAACUGGCAGGAGGGGAAAGACUGUUGGUGUCUCUAAGAAGCGAUGAGCUUAACAAUCCUCUUUGAUGUUGUCUUUCGAUCUUGAAGUCAUCACCUAAGUUUUAUUCAUCAUGUUGGAGAAGACUAAUUCUUUUUAAUGGUUUGGUUAUGUUUAGGUAACAAUUUUGAUUGUCAAUGGAACCGUAACAUUGAUGAAAGUUAUUUCUCUCGGUCAUUUUUCCAAUGCCUUUUUCUGACAACUGGAUAUUGUAGUUUUGAGUUUGCUCCUCAGAAUUGCAUGGCUUUGAAAUAGGAGGUCCCAUGGUAAAGAUUAUUACCACCCUUUAAAAGAGUCCUCAGUUCUUUAGAUGACUCUGGAUCCAAAUGCACUAUAGAAUUUGAGGUCAAUCUCUGUCAUCCCCACAACGGUGAGCAUAUUGCAACAACCGGUAGACGAAAUGUUUGAUAUUUAUACAACUUGGGAGAGUCUUCCAUCCUCAAGGGAUGACGACAAAUGCAUCAUCUCUGCUUAGUCAUAGACACCAAUAUCCUAGGAAUGCCUGGACAACAUAACAAACGUUUGAACACCAAAUAAGUUGGAAAUGUCACUGGAAAAGAAGAGAUUAAAUAAACUGGUGUUCAUCAAAGCUGAAGCUAGUCAUUAUUAUGCUUUGAGCAAUUUGUAGCUCUUCCAUCCUCAAAAGAUGGAUCAUUAGCUCUCACAUCAGCUAUCUUCGUGCUUUAGUCACUAUUGGCUCCUGCAACUGUGGAAGCCAACUUGUAAGGAUCAAAGAGCAUACAUAUUCUUUAGCAAAACAUGAACUUAGAAAAAAGAACAUUUUCCAGUGUCUCAAGAAAUUUUCUGUAAAAUAAAUAAUGCACUAUCGUCCCAGGAUAAGCAACACAAAAUCCUAUUCGAGUUGCAUUGACUUUGACAUAUGAUGGUUUCGGGUGCAUAAGAUGGCAAAGUUUUAACCUGAAGGGAGAUUUAGCAGCUAUUAGGCUGCCAAUUUUGCUAGGACUUUGAGAAUUUGAUAUGUUUUGGUUACAGAAUCAGCCCAGUGAGCAGUGGCCUGGAAAAUUUUUAUCUUGAAUUUGUUGUGUCAAGUAAAAUUUCUCUUUGAAAAGAAAAGAAAAAGAUAUCCAGCAUCAGCUACAAAAUUCCAGAUCAAAUUUGAUCUAGUCUUACUUACUAUGGAGCCCUGUCGAGGGUAAAACUUCAGGUAUAAGCAUGGUUGUCCUCCCCUCCAGUAGUUGGUUCCUACCUGCAGGAUAAAUGUUUACCUUUUAUCUUAAUGAAUGUGUCUGACGUGUGCUGUCAGAUUUAAGCACUCAAGACUUGUGUAUUUCUUAGAUAUUAUAGUAUUGAUUGAAAUAGAUUGGAAAUCCAUCUAAUAUCUUGAUUUUAGAUGACUUGGAAAUGGUAAAGACUCUAUGAAAUGAUGCAUAUAAAUUAUGAACUCUCUGCAGAGAGUCUUUUGUUUGAACAGGCCAUCCAUUGUAGUUGACUUUUAUUACUGAAUUAUUUACAGAGCUGUCAAUCUCCUCCGUCUUGCCAUAAACAUUCUCUUGGUCCAUUAAUUAAAUCUAAAAUAUUUAUACCUUAUGAUUCCUGAUUUCAACUCUGCAACAGUCUCAGAAUAGAUAUGUAAUCUAAACCACAAUAAUUAGAUACAUUAAUCCAAGCUUCUUGUGAAGCUGGCACCCGAUGUGAUACCUAAGAAGAGAGUGAUGUGCCAACUGCUGGUUUUCUUCUAUCAUUGUUUGGAUACUUCUCACCGAUUGGCUUACUUCUGACUGAUCUUAUCUAUACUGCUACACAGAUCAUGAUGCAGGAUCUUUCUGAUUUGUUUGGCAACAGCCAUUCAAUUAGGGUGCUUCAAAUAUAUUUUUAUGGGUAAAAGGAAUGUUCAAUCCUUUUCAUAUCUCUAUCAAACCUUUUAUCCUAAAAUGAAAAAUACUAGUGCUUUAUCCUAUCUUAUAUACUUAACUCUCGGUGUGAGAUGUGCACCCACAUGCUAAUGCUUGAGAAGCAAGAAAACUCGAUGAAGAUAGGAUUAUAAAUCUCAAAUUUAUAUACUUUUUUCCUUUCUUUCAUCUUCCACAGAAAGGAGGUACUGAAAUAAAACUAUGGAUGUGUGUUUGCAUUCUUUACUCAAUUCUCAAAUGGAUGACUCUUAAACACAAGUUAAGCUCUUCCUUUUAGGUCUCAUUUCUCUGGUCAGGUGGCUUGAUAUAUCCUUAUCAUUAUGUGCUAAUCAUUCUUUAUUGCAGUUCACAGUGACCUAUCAGGAACAUUUUGUUUUCAAGCCAUCAUCACUUCACCUAUUACUUGGCAGCAUAUCAUUAUCGAGGUCUCAUUGAACAUAAUUCCCCAAAACUAGUUGUCUUUAAAUACUCAUUAUCUUUCUUACCAUUUCAUAUUAAUAUAAACAAAUUCCAAAUGCUUAGUAUAAUCUGAGAUAAAGCUGCUGAGAACUACACAGCUAUCCUUCACCACCUCCCUAUAAAUCCCCAAUGCAUGUUUCUGAUGCAGUGAGGAAAUUUUGCAACUGUCAAAUCAGAUUAAUCAGAGUAAAAGUCAAAGAUGCAUCAGUCAAAGGAUUCAGAUACAUUAGGCACAUGUUGUAUGACCAUCAAAGCUUGUGUAUCACAUGUGUACUGUGUGAGGCAGGAUGGUCUCUUUGUAGUGUAUACUUUUGUCCUCUCUCUUGUUUUCACUGUGUUUCUUGUUUCUGCUGUCCCAGAGACUGCAGGUAAGAUUCUUGCACUCUUCACUGGAAUCUCCCCCAUCUUGUGGUGUUGGUGGGGUAGAUUUGUCUGGUAACUUCAACAUGUCCCAAGCUUUCUUAUAUACCUCUCAUGGACUGAGAAAUGUAUGAUUACUAAUUAUGUCAGGUUUGGUUCAUCAGAUGAAAAAGUUCUAUAAUGCUACUUCAUAGCUGCACUUUUAAGUGCAUGAGAAAUCAUCUGUAAUAAGUAUGGUAAUACUUUAUAUAUUUAGGAUUAAUUACAUGCAUCUUUAUUAGUUGUUAUGCUUCUUAAAGAAAAAUAUAUUCGGUUAAAGAUAAUUAUUUUUUAUUAUAAUAUAAAUUUUAAGAUUAUCUUUUUCUUACUAGAGACUAGGUUACCAAUGAUUCCUAUUCUCAUCGACAUAAAAUCUUCUCGAUAAACUAUUAUUAUAAAAAUAUUAUUAUAUAUGCAUUCAUAAUUUAUUCACAGUAUGAUCUAGAAAUAUAUAUCGUCAAAUUUUGUGUGGGUUGGAAUGAUAUUCUAUUUAUCAAUUUGAGUCUGAAAUUAAAUAAAAUAAGAAAACUUUAGUAAAUAAAUAUAGGGUGAAAUUUCAAAAAAAAUUAAAAAUUUCUCAUAGAGUAAUAUUUUUUUAAAUAAUCAUUUUACCUUUGCCCAUGCCGAACCUGCUUCUCCUUUCUUCUGUCCUGUCAAACUUGUCAUCAUCUUCGUUUCUAUACAAUGGAUGAUAACAAUAAUCUUGUUAGACAUUUUUUCACUGACAAGGAUCGUGAAAGAGAAUGAUGAGAGUCGCCAUCGUCGUUCUCCCUCCUUUCUCAUGCAAGAGCAACAAGGACGAGAUGGGUUCGACAAUGUCUAUUUAGACGACAUAGAGCAUAGGCGAUAACAUAUUCGAUAAAAAUAAGGAUAAAUUUAUUAUUUUAAAUAAUAAGGAAUACCAUGUGAAAUUUUUUUAAAGUUUUAAACAUUCAAUCACAAUUUAUCAAAGAUGAAGUUUUUUUUUGAAAAUUCGCCCAUAAAUAUAUCCAUUUAGUAAAUAACUUUUUCCUUUUUAAGUAUGUCAUGUAGAUAAACACCUUAGCAAGUGAGUGAAACCUACAAACGCAAACAGAGUAAAAAGGACAAGGAAUGGCUUCACUGCAAGCGGCCCGACAUGACCGCCAAGCACGCAUGAAGAGAGGAGAGACGGGCUUCACUGCCAUGUCUAUCAGAUCAAACACCACAGAAUACCAUCAGCCAUAGCCAGUGGGAGUAGAGGCUUUUAGGUGUUCUGUUCUCCCUAUUCCUAGUGGUGGAUAAAAGAGCUUCCAGUUGUGGUUUAUCUUCUCACACCGUGGCUCACUGGUUUUGUGCCUCACUGUCUCGUAUGUCCUGAAAGGCACCGUGUUUGUUGCUGGAAUUCCUUUCCUGUGCUCGAUCUUUUCAUCUUUUUUUAUUAUAUAUUUAUUCUUCGUUUCCUGGGAGUUUUCCUCUUCGGGUGGCUUAAAGCUAUCCCAAAAUUGCAGCAGAAUCCAAUCUUGAUUCCUGGACCUACUGCGGUGGGUUGUGGGAUUUCAUUUCCUAGAAGAAAGGUUCCACCUUUUUGGUGCUUGUAUUGGGUUCCAAGAUUCUCCGAUCCUUUUAUUCUGGUUCUGGGUGUUAUCGGAGACUUCGGUUGAACGAAUUGUUCUUGGAUUUGAUUGAAGGCUUGGGUUUUUUAGGCGUUUCUUCCCGAAAAAUCCCCUUUUUUGGGUCGUAAAAUGAGCCUUCAGGGGUUGUGAUCUGACAUGAGGGUUUUAUCAUGCAAUUGCCACUUUCCUCUUGACUGCUGCUCCGAGUCAUCGGUCCGCUGUUACCCGCCUUGCACUCCCAAGUCGGAGUGGGGAGACGCCCAAAAUGUUUUCUCGAGCCCGGCUCCAGUUUCUAUGGCUUUGGAGGAGAAGCCAUCUGAUGAGAAGGUUGUGACCGAGCAAAAUAGUGCAGAGGAUGUGAUGGUUGAGAUCUUUUUGAAGAGCUGCCUAAAGAAGCCAAGAGUAUCGGAUUCAGGACAGGUUGGAAAGCUCAAUGUUAAAUGGACAGAUUUGUUGGGUAAAGAACUUGUUGAAAUCAAGGAGUUUGAAGCAGCGUAAGUUUAUCCUUACCAUGCUUACUGAAAUGGUUCUUAUUGCUUUGAUCUUUACAACGUUAAAACUUGCAUUACUUAAUUCUAUGUAUGUUUGAUGUUAUUGUAAUGUUGUUCUAUGGUUAGCAAAGGUCGAGACAGCGAUCUGUCUGCUUAUUUAGAUAAUCAUUCCUAGAUAACAAUUGACUGAGCCUUAGUCAAGUUUUGCAUUAUGAUUUUAGUUCUGUAUUCACAUCGUUAAGUUAGAUGCUGGAUUCGUUUGUGUAUACUGUUCUAUUAAAUCAUGGAUGUGAAGACAGACUUACGCACUGUCUUGCAUUAUGCUAUCUGCAUCUUUUUAUGACAUCGUCCUUUAUCGUUUAAUCACAUUUCCAGAAAGGAUAUUUACAAUUCCUAUGUGUUGUUCUCAAAGACUAACACUUCUAAUCUCUUUGUGGUUUUCGUCUUAGGAAACCUAGGUAUACAUAUUUUAUGGGAUUUAGUUUGCGAAUAUCUGGGUUCCCACUUAAAAAUAUGACUUGACUGUUUUGUUUGACAACUAACUUGUCGUUCGUAAUUUUCAUAAUGUCAUUUUGGAUGUUUUGCACUCCUGUCUUUUUUAUUAUUGUCUUCAGCACACAGUGUACAUUAAAUGGUCACCUUUCUUAGCGUAAAAUAUAGUUGGGAUUUUAUUUUGUUGUCAGUCAUUGGCUCAACCCGUGGGAUUUUGGUUUUGGUAAUUUUAGUGCAUUGUGGGUUUCCUUAAAAACCUGCCUGGUACACCUUUAAAUGGUUUUCACCUCAGAAAUAUCUGCUCAGCAUCCUCAUCUCAGUGACGCAAGUUCUUUUAUAGAUAUUUUAUAUUUCCUAACUUAAUGUUGCGUCAGACUCGUCUUACAGAGACCCAGGGCAAUAAACAAUGGUACUGAUGUUUCAAUUUAUUUUAUUUACUUGAGAGAUGAUUAGGAGAUUUUUUGACUUUUGUGGAUACAAGUCAAGUUAAUUGGAGGCUAGGCAUUAGUUAAGUUGAUACAAGUCAAGAAUCAGAGCAGGUUAAGAUGGAUAUGUCAUAUCAAUUAAUUCUCCUUAUUUGCUCUGGUUUUGGAAAUUACCUUAUCAGCUGUUAUUUUCUGUGGUUACAACUUCAACUUCAAGUAGCCUUUUUUCAAAAAUUAAUGAAAGUAAAGGUUAAAAUUGAUGAAUAUGUUAUUCUAUUAAAUUUAUAUAAUAUGGAGGUUAACACAAACCAUAAAGAACAAAUCAGAUCUGGUACUGACUCUUCUAGUGAAAACUAAGACAGUAUAUAGAGCUCUCCUGUUAUGGUCAAGACUGAUGUUGUCUCACAAAGCUGGCACACAACUGAAUAUGAUGUGUCCUUAUCGGUUCUGCAGCGGACAUUAACGUUCAUCUUGAGUUUUUCAAGACGCCCAGGUUGCAGUACAACGAUGUCGACACUUGUUUGCUUAAAAAGCUGGUAUGGGACAAUAUGCUGAAUUUCAAUUUGAGUUACUUACCGACUCAAUUAAAAUGGAGUCUGUGGUAAGUUGUUUGAACUCAAGUGUAUCAUGUUUUACCAUAUCUAUGAUAUUUUAUCAAAAGUUUGUCAUAGUGAUUAGGUGAAAUUAAAAGUUACAAUUUGCAUUUGGUAAGUAAAUUGGGAAUCAAAUGAAAGAAGGGUAGGGUUCAUCGUGGUGGAUUAGGUUAAGCUAAUACAUUUGUGUUUUACCAUGGACUGAAGCUAAGAAUUGGACUGAGUCAUAAAUGGACUUGAAAAUUAAACUAGGUCAGAAUUGAGUUUAUUCGUGGGUUUGGGAUUCACUCGAAAUUGUAUUAAGAGUUGAACCUGGAGUCCUAUUUGGACUUGGACUUUAUUCAAGGGUUGGGUUGGGUUAGGUGGAUUGGAUGUCCAACAUCCAUUAUUUGAGUUAUAUUGGUUAUAGCCAGUUUCUGAUCACACUUGUCGGUUCACCCACUAAGGAAGCUAUAGUUCCGAUGAGUUUCUGCAUUUCUGAAUUUUCAUUGACUUGAAGCCUCUGAUCUGUAACAAAUCUAUCAUGAAUUAACUUCGUGAUAACAAUAGGGGAAAAAGGGAAGAGUGUGACUUCCUUUCUCUUGCCGUAAAAGUUGAUGAUAUCUGGUGAAUUUCUUGCUUGUUAUCUGCUUCAGUUUUUGUUUUUAUUAAGUGAGCCUUUAUAUUGGUUGGUUACUGUUACCAAACUUUCAUCAGCCUCUAUGAUGGGAUUCUUCAUAAAUCAUCUAAUCAUUUUAUUUAAAUAUUACUAUGGAUGCUUAUGAUGAUUUGACAACCGAAGUUGAUUUCUGAUAUCUUAUUCCAUUAUCUUAAUUAUUUUUUUUUCUUGCCUACAGUGAAUCUGAAGAAUCAGAGGAUUUCACUGAUGACAGCAUUGGAUGCCUUUGUGUUGUUCAAUGACAAGGAUGUACUUCUCUAAAGCCUUCAUGGAAAAACCAACGCGAACUGCUCGAUGUUUGAUUCUGUUUGCACUUCUCCAUCACAGAGUCAAUUAAGUCAUCAAUCAUCCAGCUUUUCCUGCUCCUAUUUCGAUUCCCUUCUGCCGCUACAAGUCAAACUUAAAAAGUCAAGCAGAAGCAGUUGCUCUGGAGUGGCAUUGAUUGGGUGCAUUUCAUAUAUUGGAUGUAGUUGGUACUAAUGUAAAAGUUUAAAUAAAGUAGACUACAGUGAUGUCCAGAAUAUCCAGUUUCAUAUGUUGGAUUUUAUAGGAAGUGAUUGUUGAACUUCUUCCUCUUUGCAUCAAGUGUUGGUUGUUUCUUUACUGUGGAUCUUUCUGAAGUGUUGAUGCAGUCUGUAUACAUUGUCUUAGAUUUUUAAUGAUACUGCCUAAAUAAAUUUAGCCAGACUUUUCUUAACACUGUAUAAUUUAUUUGGAUUUACCCAUAUUGGCUUUUUAUGAACAUAAUUCAUGUAUAAACAGGACAGUUUCAAUAAAGAGUAAGUACAUCCUAAUUUGAUUUAAUAAAUGUGAUUUCUUUUUUUUAUUUUAUAAAAAGAACACAGAACAACCACAAGAGCUUCUGAGUGGAUUGAGAUGAACAAGGAGCUAAAUUUAUUGCCAUAUACCUACUAACUAUUUGUUUGUGUCAAAUUGUAGUCUACCAAUGACAUCCCACUGCAACAUAAUCUGAACCAGAAUGACUGAUUCAAAGCUAAUUGUAUUAACAAAUCAGAAUAAUAUAAUCUAAAAAACCAGCUUCAAGUCCUGCAUUGAACUUAUGCUUUAGUCAUUUUAUUUAACAUAUAAAAAAAUUAAGAGAAACCAAUAAUUGCUCAGAAUCACAAUUUCAGCAGUGUAAUGAGGCACAGUUACUUCUACAUUAAUAUGCCUAGUCUAUUAGAAAGAUAGGUCUUAAUAUACAGUAAAAACAAAAAUAUACUUCCAUAAUGGUUCUAUAUUCUAAUGAAAAUUUCUAGUUAUCCGGAAACAUAUUUAGCUAUAUUCAUCUUAAAAAUACUUUGAUUUUUUUUGCCAUUAUUCAUCAUAAUCUAUGAAUUAAUUGCUGACUGAGAUUAAAGGGACGUACAAGUGUUAGGAAAGUGGCAACAGAUUUGGGUCUUCUAGCUCAUCUUAUCAGCCUUCUGAAAUCAAUAAUCUUGCAUGGCUUAAUGAAGAGAGAGAGAGAGAGAGAGAGAGAGAGAGAGAGAGAUUGGCACUUAAAGAUAUUCUUCAUUGACAUUAAGCUCAAUCCCAUGCUUGAACUUUGACCUGCUCUGGAUUGAACUAAUUGUAAUCAAGAUCAUGCAACAAAUAGUCUGAUUUAUGAUGUCAUGGCUUAGUGAAGGAAGAGAGAGAGAGAGAGAGAGAUAAGAUAAUCUUCGAUCACAUCAAACUCCUGUUCCUAUGCUUGAAAAGAGGAUGAUUCAUACAUCAGCAUCAAAAGAGAGAACAAAGCCACAGAGCUGUCUCUUAAUGUUGUGUGGGUAUAUAGUAAUUUUCAGUACACAUCCGUCAGCUAUAUUUAUAAGCUUUAAAGCCUUAUCUCAUUGUAAAUAUAUUAGGAUUUGGUAGCCGCAUUUUGAGCGUGCAUCAUUGAUUAUUCCACCAUCAUUCCUUCCGAGAAGCUUCCACCAUGCUCCAAACAAUCUUACAGGCAUUUACACCCCCCCUUUACCUCCUCUUCCGAGGUUUCAAUGUUCAGCUUACAUCCAUGUCUAACCCUCAUCCGUCCACAUCUUCACCGUAAUCUCUCUCUCUCUCUCUCUCUCUCUCNNNNNNNNNNNNNNNNNNNNUCCGUCCACAUCUUCUACCGUAACUCUCUCUCUCUCUCUCUCUCUCUCUCUCUCUCUCUCUGUCUCUCUCUAGUACGGCUUAUGUCUUCUACUGCAAGAACUCCAUUUCUUGGACAUGGAAACAAAUCUGUGGGAUAAGAAAAGAGCUCUUAUAUGUUCCAUAGGUCGAUGCAUGAUAACCAUCUUUAGUAGUACCAGGCGAGGACAAGUUUGUUCCUUCUAUCUUUUCUUUUCUUGUCCUUCCUUCUUCCUUCUUUCUCUUCAGUGAGCAGAUUAUUUCUUCUAGCACUUGUUUCGGUUGGUGGCAUCUACUUCACCGUAAUUUUCCUUUACUUGCUUCGCAUGAUUUAGCUAACUGGUUUGAUCAAAUGCAUGCAUGCAAGCGAUGAGAAGUUGCUGCUUUGAGAGUCGCAAUCAAAUAACCCUGAUGCUGAUCUGUAAGUAGGGGAGGAGAGGAUGGUGAUCACAGGGAGCAGCCAGAGGUAGGAAGUGCUGCAAGGCAACCUUUAAUGCCAGACGACGGCUACCAGUGGAACAAGUACGGUCAAAAACACAUCAAGAACAUCAACAAGACCAGGCAAGUAACUACAAGCGUAUCAGUUUGAUCUUAAGUUGUAUGAGAAUUAGCUGCUCUGAAAUGUUUCUGCCGCCUCCAACUCCAUUAUCUCAUGUGCAGGAGCUACUUCAAGUGCCGAAACAAGGAGUGCAAGGCAAAGAAGAGGGUGGAAUGGCCUCCUGCUGAUCCAUCCAACUUGAGAAUUCUCUACGACGGAUCGCACCACCACCAUCCUCCAGCGGAUUCACAGCAGCUCCCCAGUGUUGCAGGAAACCGGUAUGAGCUUGGCAACCAAGUUUUCGGUCGACUUAACGACCACCAUAAUCCCUAAUCUCUGGCUUAAUCCUCAUCUUGUAAUGUCCCAAGAUGAGCUCAGACUAUGCAUAUAGCAAUCCCACGCAAUAAAUGAAGUCCCUUCUUCUCUUUCGAAUGCUUUCAAUCCAGUGACAUAUUCUUUCAAGGUGAAUUCAGACUGCAGGUACAAAGGUGUUGAAUGCUGAAUGCUUUAAGUACUCCAUUGGUGAACAUGAGAGGAUCUUUAACUGCGAGCAGACGAUGAGAACAGAGAAAGACUAGAUAUCAUAGGACUGAUAGAAUAGUCAUAACUUUAAGGUCAGAAUGACCAAUCUGAAUUGUGGUUCAACUACCAUGGACAGCUUCUGGAUAGAGGAAUCAGCUCAACUAUAUACUAUGGAGAUGAUCAUUAAGAGGUUCUAUACGCAUCGGUACUUUGUUUUUGAUGGUGUGUUUGGCAUAAUUUCCUUCUUCCAUAUAUCAAAUAAUGCAUGUUUACGACAAAUUAGAUUCCAUUCAGAUCGAGUUAAUUGAUUGUGCACCAGUGUACGUAUAUCAGAGAGAAAUCACGGCAAGUGUAAAGUAGACUCGUAACAAGCUAAUGAUAUACCAUGUUCUGAAGAGACGAUUCUUCCGGGUGAUUGACACAUUACCAGGCAAAUCGCGUUCUUCGAAUCAACUAAUUGAAGAGGUACAAAACUCCAAAUCACCUAAAAAUUUCUGUGACCAAUUUUUUCUUGAGGAUCAAACGACUUUGGAAGCUGGUCAUCCUAAUCUUCGUGAAGUAUGAAAACAGCAUUUUGUUAUUAUAAUAUGUUAUUAUAAUUUUUUUUUGAGGAUCAAACAUAAAAAUCAUAAUAUGUUAUUAUUUUAUGAAAUUUUUUAAUACUAAGACUAAAAUCAAAUAAUAAUAGAUCUAAAUAUUUCCCAUGCAUAUCAUUCGAUGCUGCUCAGAAAGCUCUUAUCUGAUCUAUAAGCAUAUCGUCAUCGGAUCCGAAAUCUAUAGUAAUACCGAUCUAUAAGGAGAACUAGACUCGUUUUUUUCUCUCUUUCUAUCCUUCAUAGAACUGAUUAUGAUUGAUGAAUUUAGGGAUAGAUAUGAUAUGAGAGAAGAUCUCUAAUCUCUUAUUGAUUGGUUCACGUGACUAAAGGAAGAUGAGAAAAGAUCUGUAAUCCCUCAAUCAUAUCAUGUAUCUACAUAUCUGUAUACCCAUUCGUGUAUAUGAUUAUUGAGUCUCUAAGAGGUCUGGUCUAUUUAUAGGUAAGAACAUAGGGUCUAUAAUAAAUUAUUAGGAGAGUCUCUUCCACUAAAGUCAUAUCCUAAAAAAUCAUAUCAUAAUUAAAAUUCCUUUCUAUUAGCUAAUGACUAUCAUUAGAAUCCAAUCAUAUCAAUAAUAUAACUUACCUAACUAAAUAGAACUACAUAAUCUAAUAUAAACUUCUUAUUUCAAAAAAUAAGAUACAACCAAAAUCCUACAACAGUAAUCACUAUUUGAAAAAUUAUUUCAUAAAAUUCUAAAUCUUUAAAAACUCAAAAGUAUUUGGUUAUUUAUGUUAUCCCUAACUAUGCAUGUAUGCUUCACAUAAACUAAUUAUUUCUAAAAGAUAGUCUAUAAUUUUUAUUCCUAGGGUAAUCAUCACAUGAUUUGUAAUUCUACCCGAUUUGAAAGUUGAAAGGGAGUAACAAAAAAGUAGUUGUUGAAUGGAGGAUGAUGGAUACCUAAGGCAAUGAUGCCACACAUUGAUUGAAGUAACAACUGAAGUAAGAGCAUUUAGUUGGGUGAUUUGUAAAGCUAACGACCACUCAUAUAUGUUAUAUUUAUUCUGGCCAAACUAAAGAUGCUCCCAUACUCAAAUCCUUUAUAAGAAAUGAGUCAUGUAAAAACUCAAUAAAUGUGUUAUUUUGUUUACAGAAAUGAUAUAUUUUUAAUGUGAGAUGCACACAAAAUAUCAUCGAGUGUAAAAAUAUUGGUAUUUGAAUUAAGUAUUAUAAAACUAGUGUGAGUAACAGAGAUUCCAUUAUCGUAACCAAUGAUGUCUUCAUUGCCUCUAUAGUUGUCAUAGAUAGAUAAGUUCUGUAAAUCAGAAGUUAUAUAAUGAGAAUUCCUAGUCAUAAAGAAAACCUCUACGUAGGGAGAAGGGAAGAUGCCGACAAAGGGAGGAGGAGGCUGUCAAUGUAGGGAGGAAGUGGAGUAGACGAUUGCGACAAGGCAGAUUAGGAGAGAAGAGGCAGGAAAUAGAGGAAGACAAUUGCGACAAGGCAGAUUAGGGGAGAAGAGGUGAGGGCAGAGGAGGUUCACCGGUGAGGAAGAAGAGGGAGGUUCCUUAUGAGAGGGUUAAGGUGACAAACCUUAUGAGCAAAGCCCUAUGUCACUUUGUGGGGUAGACAAUGACAUCAACCCCACACAAGGGAAUGUGAGGAAUCAAAAGAUCUUUCAAGUCAGGAGUUGUAGGUGAGAAGGAUCUAUCGGUGAAGAGAUGGGGAAGCAGGGUUCAAUGUUAUAGGAAAUGACUAUGGAGGAGAGGCAGCACCGCGACCAUAGUGGCUUGAAGUCCGCUUUUGCCGAGCAAGAUAUGGUAGUUUAAGAAAGACCGCCAAGCAGAAUAGCAAUCGUAGUGACUUGAAGUCCGUCGAUUAACGACAUAUCAGCAGGGGAGAAGUAUUGCUAUCACCGAUAGAUCAACGACAAAUUAUUAUCAUCGGACAACGAAUAAGGGAAAGUCUUGCUAAAGGAAAAAGAGCUUUCAUACCAUGUAAAAUUGAGAAAUAUGUUAUGAAAUAGAUUAAUUUUAUAUGAGUAUUUAUACAGACUUUAAGUAAGAUAUUUUUCUCAAUUGUGUACUCAAAUCCGUGGUUAAUCCUCGAAUUAUAGAUUAUUAAAAAUAAAAGUAAAUAGAGAUGUUAUUACAUGUGUGUCUUUACGAUGAUCUUUUAUCAAUAAGCAUAAGAUCUUUUAUCAAUGAGUAUACUAUAUCUGAAAAUUGCACUGGUAACACAUCUAAAAUACCAAUCUGAAUAUAGAUAAAUGGUCCAAUCCCAGAUUUUUUGUCACUAAUAUUUUUAUUAAUUAUUCUCAUUCUACAGUCAGUCACACACUAAAUAAGAAGAAAAAGAAAAAAGAAAUUUUCAUUGGAGUUCCAUUUUAAGAGACUUGAAACUGAAAAUGCAACUAAAAGAAACAAGAAAACAACGAUAAAUAACAAAUCAAAGAAAUGCAUAAAGAAAAAAGAACACUUGUGUUUAGAAUUUGUAUCUUUAAUAGAAAAUGAUAUGUUGACCCCACUUUGGAAGGAUCUACAUUCAUGAUCUCCACACCUCCUCUUACGAUCUCAUUUAUGGAAAAAUGAGGAAAAAAAAAAAUAUUGAUGACUUUUAAUUGAAUCUUGAUUUGAUUUAUAACUCAAUGCUUGAUUAUUACGACAAUAAGAAUAUUAAGGAUGUUAUAAUCAUUUUAUAAUUUAUUAAUAUUAUAAUUUAAAUUAAUAAAACUAACUUUAGCUAAAUUUGAUUUACCUAAGUUUCUUAUGUUGUGUUUGGGAACACAUUUAUAAUUUUAAUGUACAUUUGGAAAAAGAAACUUGAGUGAAUAUAUAGUUAUACAAUGUUCUGAUUGUUUGAUAAAUAAUAAAUAAAAAUUAUAUUCUAAAUAUACAUUAACAUAAUAAUAUAUAGUUAUACAAGUGUUACUUGACAAAAUAAUAUUUCAAAAGUGAAUUGAAUAUUAUAUGAUAAAUUUACUCUUCUAAUAUUUUUAGUAUUUACUAAUAUAUAUAUAUAUAUAUAUAUAUAUAUAAUUUCAAUAAAUAAAUGAAAUGAAUGUAUGUAAUCAUAAAAAAACUUUGUAUUAGCCAAAUAUAUAAUAAGUAAAAAUAUAAUCAUAUAAAUGAAUAUAAAAUAAUCUUUUGAAAUAAAUAAAUAAAAUUAUACCAAGACAUAAAUUUUGUUGAUUUUUUACUAAAUCAUAUUGAUAAUCUUAUAAUUUUAGAUAAUGUCAUAGGGUACUUUGAAAUUUUUUUAAAAAAAUAUAUUAGUAUCCCACAAGUAUUGAAAUGUUGAUGCUACCUUGAAGUAUCAUCAACAUUUGAGCAUUUGUAAUAUAAUAGGCUAUAGGUAAUUUUUAAAAAAUUAUCAAAUACUUAUUCAUAUUUAAAAUGUGGAUUAGGUCCUUGAUACACAUUUCAAAUAUGUUGCCUAAUACAUCCUUAAUGAUCCUAAUAUCUAGAAAAACCUAUAUGUCAUAUUAAUAUUUAAAACUUUAAAUAUAUUAAUUUCAACCUUUAAACUCUCCCCCAAAUAUUUUAAUUUCAAUUUCUCAUCGACAAAGCUCAGUCAAUAAAUAAUUUCCUAAGAAUUAUUUAGGAAACACUUAUUACUCAAAGAAGUAGUUGCUUGUUUACCAAUUAAGUAACUUGUAAUUAAAUUUGUGCUCAUAAGAAACGGCUUGGAGCCAUUUAUUUUAUUGUAUAGCAUGCAAACCAGAACCUGAUCGAGAUCUUGCAAUAAUAUAUGUCCAAGUUUUAUCGAUUAUAUUAGUCAGGGUUUUCAAAAAAAAAAAAAUAGAUAUGUUUGGUAUGUGGGCUUAGUACUUCAAUAAGACUAAUAUCUUAUUCUGCAUUUAAAGUUAUAAUUAGAUCAUGAUUUUUUUUUACUUUAAAAUUAUUAGUUUUUCUUAUUUUUUCGUAAUAAAAAACAGAACCAUCUCUAAUCAGCACUUGAUCUUUGUUUUCUCACGUUAAUAUUCGAAGGAGAUGAGUGAGCUAAUUAUAAAUUACCUCGUAUAAUUAGUUGUUUUUAGUGUUUCGAUUCUUAUACUUUAAAAAGUUAUUAACAUCCCUAUAACUACAAAAGUGAAACAUUUAAGUUUAUUUAUCCUAACGAUGUCAAUUUCAUCGAUAGAAACAUGAAAAUAAAGGAUAAAAAUAUAAUUUUAAUCUUUGGUGGUGGGUAGUGACGCUGUUGGCAUUGACGUCGAUGCAAUUGCCUAGUUGCCUUCAAUGAUGAUAAGGUUUUAUCUCACUGCAACAUCACUUGCCUCCACGAGGAGUGUGUCACCGAUCUCAUCGCCGCUUGCCCCAUGCCACUCUGUAUCAGCGUCGACGCAAAUGAUGGUGGCCGCCAUGACGUCUAUGGCAAAGAUGGUGAUUGCUUAAUCGCUAACCCAUUGGGCGGAUCUCAGCUUCGACCCCUCCCCCUUUGCAUCUGCAUCGACAUCGAUGCAGAUGUCAAGCGGUCGUCACCCUCGAUCCAUGCUCCCUCGGUAAGCUCUGCACUAUGUCCGAUUACUUUCUUAGCAAGUGAUCAUUGUUGUUGGAUGAGACCAUCACCUUUGUCCAUGCCUCCAUGAUCAUCCGCAGCAACUCUUAUAUUGGCGGUUGCUUCUUUGCUUUGACCGCUAUGCAAGCCACCACAAUGUUUAGUAGUGCCAUCAGCUUCUCCUCGGAUGCCUCAUUCUCGAACGACUCAAGGUCCUUAUCGGAGUCAUUCCACUCCUCCUCUCGCAUGGAGCAGACCCACCAAGGGAUAUCGGUGUCACGCUCCUCCACUAAGUCUUGGAAGGGGAUCUUCUGUUCGGAUCGAGUCGGCACUAAAAGGGGGAAUUAGUGCCUUAGAUAAAAAUGUUGGUUUUAAAAAUUUCUUCAUUCGAUAAAACCAGAUUGGAAAAAUAACUUGAAAUCUCAUUCGUAAGCAUAGUAAAAGCAGUAAACAGGUAAGACAGUUUGCAGUAAAGAUAAAUUAUAAGAAUAGAAAUGCAAACUAAGUUUUAUAGUGGUUCAAUCGUCGUGAUAUGCAUCCACUUCGUUGAUUCCUUUUUCGUCGAGUCCACCGACAUUCCCUAACGAUCUUUCUUCACCGGAUGAAAAUUAAGUACCCUUUUACACUCUUUCUUCUUUUGAUAGGCUCCGGAGAGAACCUUUAUAACAUCUCUACCUUACUUCUCCGUUUAGAAAAACUUCUAAAUACUAAUUUCGUCCAUGUGAAUUAUCUAUUUUACUUUUUAUUUUUUUAUCAUUCAUGAAAUUUAGAGAUUGAAACAUUAAAGCCAAUUAACCAAUUAAGGUAACGUAUAAUUACUCAUAGACCAGUACAUUCCUAAUAAUUAUAGAUUUUCGCAUUUGAGUGGAUGAUCGAGAUGUGACGAUCGAGAAUUAUAAUGGCUCGUACUAAGAAAAUGAGGAAUUAGAAACAAGCGUGAGUACACGGAAUUCAUGAAUCAUUGUACCCAGAAUAGUCUGUGCCACUCAUCUUCGUUGACUUGAUUGACUCAAAAUAGAAAAGUCAACUCAUAAUAAAUAAAUAAGCAAUAAUGUCCAUAAAUCCAAGUUGGCAAAUCUAGCGUCCUAUUUUGACUCGUGGUUUGUCUCCAAUUGAGCCAUUCCACCACAUCUAAAAUUCCUAUACUUGGAUCGUGACAUGCCCACCUGCCACAAAUAAUGUUCAUAUAAAUUAUUCAGUUCAUAAUCUUUUUUUUCUUGAAAAAAAAGGAUCUCCUAAAAUAAUUCAAUCAACAAAAUCUUUUAAAUACAUCUCUCUCUCUCUCUCUCUCUCUCUCUCUUAAUUUAGAGGAAGAAAAUGUGCCAAGACUAUUUUGUUAUAAGUUUUAGAAUAAUUAUGUAAGUCAACUAAUUUUCAUUAAUUCCAAACAUUAAAAAAGGAAAAAAAAGUGAUGAUAGCCCAAAAAUCCCCUUUUUAAAAAAAAGUCAAAAUCGAUUGUUUUCUAUCAAAAGAAAGAGUCAAAUUCCAUGUAAUGUUUUGAAAUUGACAAAUAAGGAAAAUGAACUCAGAAUUAAGCUACACAAUGAUUAUGAUUUCAUAAUGAUGAAUAUUAAGUGCGAAAAUUGUGGUAAAAAAAGAAGGAUUUUGGGUCUGAAAAAUACCAAAAAGAAGAUCUAAUAAAAAUUAUAUAAGGAGAUUAUUUUAAGAAGCUUCUCAACCUCUAGUCAUAGGUCAAAGUGUAACCCAUGGUAUAAGUGGGUUCUCAUCAUAUUUGAAAAGAAGCUUUUCAAUCAUCCUCUAGUCAUGAUAGAUAAAUAAAAAUAUGUUAAGUGAAUUAAUCUAUUGCCUAAGGAAGACCCUUAUGGUCACAGGAAUGCUUUCAUAAUCAUAAAACUUCCAAUUAACCAGAAAUUUCAUGUAUUUUAUGUGGUCAUCAGAACAAGUUUUAGUAACACUCAUUUACUACUAAACCAAUUAAUUUUAAUAGUGAAAGAAAAUAACAAAAAAAAGAGCAUUUCUGAUAUAAAAAUUCUGUCUUUUGGCUAUUGCAUUUUUUUCACUCCCAUGUAAAUGUGGGAAGAACUUGACCUUAUAAAAAAGCAAACCACAACUUUGAUUAAAAAAAUAAAAAGAUUAGAAAAAUAAAAAGUUGUUUUCCUCCUAGAAAAUACUAUUCCUAACAUCAUAUUUUUGUAGUAAAAAUGUCUCUAUUUUAGUUUAUAUUAUGAAUCAUUUUUUAUUGAAUAUUUUUUAGUUGUUUAUAGAUCUAGAAUUAGAAGGAAAGAGGGAAAAGACUUUCCAUCAAGUUGUUCACCCGCUUUUCUUACCUGUGCGACGAAUAAACAACAAACUGGGCCCUAUGGGUCCUGCAGUAUCUCUAAACCAAUAUCUAGCAAGGUUCGGCAAACGAGUUGAAAUGAACACGUGCGUGUGAGAAUUAGGCUCGCGUGGCGGGGGCAGCGCAGGGUUGCUAUUUUAUUGACUUCUCGUCAAGACCCGAACCCUCUCUCCCUCGCUCCCGUGGCGGCGCCCUCUUCCUCCUCUCUCGUCUAGGGUUUCUCCUCCCCACAUCCGCCCUCUCCGGGGUUUGGGCCGUCGGAUCGUUUCUGGAAUCGCCCGCUACUCCAGCUACUCCACCACCUUCAGAUCCGACCAUGGCGACCGUGGCCACCCCUCCUUCUGCUGACCGUAUCCUUCCGUCGCCUGGGGAGUCGAUUCGUUAUUUCUCGAUCAGUUUUCGCUUUGAUUUCGGCCUUCUCUGACCGGAUCUACUUGUUCGGUUGUUCUCCGAUUCGUUUAUUUGCGUAAAGAGUGAUUUUGCUCCGCUAUUUUAGGUUUUUCAGGGUUUUCGUUGGGGUUUAUGCUCGGAUCGGAUGGCUAAAGCCUGGUGAACGCUGCUCCUGUGGGCUUUUGCUUCGAUUAGUGUGUUUAGGGUCGUCAAAAUGAGAUUUUGAACUAUGGCGCCGGUACUGUCCGGUAGUGUUUUCCUGCCUUGUUUAUGUGUUGUGUAAUUUAUCGGGAGAUUUUACACUUUGGUUUCGCUAUGUUAAGCUCGUGAAGCAAUGAACUUGGCCGAUUGAUUAGUAAUUUAAGUUGAUUUCAAACUAUGCAGAGUUUUACUCACGCGAUCCGGAGAUUUUUCAGGGGGUUCUUAAGACUUUGUUGCUGUUAUGCUUUGGGUUAUGUCCUAUUAGGUUAUACUGAAGUUUUCAGUAAAUACUGUUAUUCCUUCAUUAAUAUGUCACAGAGGCUACAGAUCUGAUACAGAAACUGUCGUUGGAUACUGCUAACAAGAGUAAUGAUUCCUCAGAGGUCAAAAAGAAGGUAGCUUUAUUGAUUCUGCCAAUUAUUUGUUGUACAUCAUGUUGUGUAUGUAGGUUCUUAAUUGGGAAAGAGCUAGUACUAAUGCACUUUGAAUUCAUCCAACAGCCUUCUGGAGUUCAGUAUGGUUCAGCAAAUGGUGGGGAAGCACCAAUUGCGUCGAUCCCAACAUAUGAACGAUCUCUGACGCCUCUUCUUCAGGAGCAUAUGGAUGCGGGCAUGUGUUACGUACCCAACGGAUACACUCCAUCUUUCUACUAUGGAGGUAAAUUGAUUCCAGCUUCUCGUUGUAUGUGGUUUCAAGAAUUAUCGAGUUAUUUGUGAUUCCACAUCAUCUUUUUAGUCAAAAAUUUUGCUCGUUGCAUGUAACGUGCUGUAAAUACACCUGAUUGAUGCAUGUUUGUUUCUUCAUGACUCUUCUUGUGGAUGUUUCAGUGAUUUUGUUUUAGCCAUGGUAAUUGUUUAGCUGCCCAAGAUUUUUAGUUUCUUAUAGAGGAGUCACCUAAUUACAAUUGAAAGUUUUCAGGUUAUGAUGGAUCAAUGGCGGAGUGGGAGGAUUACCCUAGAUAUGUUAACUCUGAUGGAGUGGAGGUGCCUCCACCUGUAAGAUGUGUUGA
rnacentral:lncRNA from 1 species